AUGGGGAGGAAGGUGACAAGAAGAGGAAGAAGGUCUUUAUUUUUUGCGCUCUCCUCCUCCUCCUCAUGCCCAAAUGCAAUCCCUUUUUGGCACAUUUUGCAAAAGGCUGCCUUGGGUUGGAGAGCAAUUGCGCACAAGGAGAAGCGAAGCGCGUGCGCUUUUUCCUCGGGCGCGCCAUGUUGCGCGCGGGGCAGGCUGGGUUUUGUAGUUCUCCUUGCACACCCCCUCCCUCCCUUUCCACACCACGCGUUGGGAAGGAAGAGAAAGAGGAGGAGGAGGCGCUGCUGCGUUUGCCCGGGACACGAGGAGACGGGGACGCACACCAUGUUUCUUGCGCUCCAACCGGCUUCUCUCUUCCCUACUUUGCGUCGCCCUUUUUUUUGGAUAGCUUUGGGAAAGGAAAGUGGGUACUUUGUGAACCAGAGAAGCAUCGGUCCUCAGAGUAAGUUUUCACAGAAGGAUGGAAUGGACAGACCAAGGCCUUUCUUUGCCUGGUGCUUCUGGGGGGAAAGCCAUCGGGGUGCAAAAGUGCUUAUAGUGCAGGUAGUGUGUUGGCAUCUACUGCAGUGUUGGCACUUCCGUGCCACGAUGGCGAUGCGCGUCAGGUGCAACUGUGCCAUCUUGGCAGGCUCCUGGCCUUUCUUAUCCCGACUCCUUCGAAACAGCUUCCUGUGCUAAGGUGCAUCUAGUGCAGUUAGUGAAGUAGCUUAGAAUCUACUGCCCUGAAUGCUCCUUCUGGCAUAGGAGGCCGGAGCCGAACCACAGGUCGCAAAGCAGAAUCUGCGAAAAGGCUACAAGGAUCUCCUUUGGUGCUUGAAGUACAGUAGAGUUUCACUUAUCCAAGCUAAACGGGCCGGCAGAACCUUGGAUAAGCGAAUGUCUUGGAUAAUAAGGAGGGAUUAAGGAGAAGCCUAUUAAACAUCAAAUUAGGUUAUGAUUUUACAAAUUAAGCGCCAAACCAUCAUGUUAUGCAACAAAUUUGACAGAAAAAGUAGUUCAAUACACAGUAAUGUUACGUUGUAAUUACAAUAUAGUCUCACUUAUCCAAGCCUCUGGAUUAUCCAAGCCAUUUUUGUAGUCAAUGUUUUCAAUUUAUCGUGAUAUUUUGGUACUAAAUUCAUAAAUACAGUAAUUACAACAUAACAUUACUGUGUAUUGAACUACUUUUUCUGUCAAAUUUGUUGUAUAACAUGUUUUUGGUGCUUAAUUUGUAAAAUCAUAACCUAAUUUGAUGUUUUAUGACCCCUGCGACAGCAGAUAGUUCGAUUAUUAUAAUG
rnacentral:lncRNA from 1 species